rnacentral:rRNA from 1 species
UACGGAGGGUGCGAGCGUUGUCCGGAAUCACUGGGCGUAAAGGGCGCGUAGGUGGCGCGAGCAGUCGGUCGUGAAAGUCCGGAGCUCAACUCCGGAUCGGCGGUCGAUACUCUCGUGCUUGAGCACUGUAGAGGCAGGUGGAAUUCCGGGUGUAGCGGUGGAAUGCGUAGAGAUCCGGAAGAACACCGGUGGCGAAGGCGGCGCUCUGGGCCGGUACUGACACUGAGGAGCGAAAGCGUGGGGAGCAAACAGGG